AUGAAAGCAAACAAACAUAAAAAGAAAAAGCAUAAAACACAACAGUAGGUUACACGUAUACUUAUCAAAUUUCUCU
rnacentral:ribozyme from 1 species